GGAAAUAGCCAUAGCUCAGUGGUAGAGUGUCUGCUUUGAUUGCAGAAGAUUCCAGGUUCAAUCCCUGGUGUCUCCA